GACAACAAAAACCAAAACCACACACACGAUCAGAACAACACACCCUCACCCCCAUCGUUCUCUUUCUCUCUCGACUGAACUCUAGCAACCGGAGCAGAAUCCGGCCGUCCGGUGCCGGUUUCCGGCCAAAUCACACACAUAAGCACUCAUGUCUCAUCAUCUCUUCACACACCCCCCUUCGAUCGGCAAAGCUGAAGACCACCACCACAGUCCGGUGGUGGUGCGGCGGUGCUACAGUAAGAAACAGAGAGAGAGACUGAAAGAGAGAGAGAAAAAUCGGCGGUCGGUUCGAUGAUCCGGCGGUCGAUGCAUUUACCCGGUGGUCGACAACGAAGUCCGGCGGCCUUGUUCGGUCCGUCGGGUUUCACAGCGAUGGUGGUGAGCGACGGUGGGAGUAUCGGAGGGGAAAGAGGCGGAACAGAGGUGACGGUUCGGUGGUCACCAACUCGGACCGACGGUCACCGUCUUGGUUCGGCGGUCCUUGCUUUGGUCCGAUGGGUUUUCUGUUUGGGAGUCCCGGGUUGGGUCAGAUUUGUGACAGGUUUGUCGGGUGACGUUGUGGUUCGGGUCUCGGGUCACAGUUGGGUUCGGGUCAAACGCGGUCAACACCGGAGCAACACGGGUCAGCUGGUCAAAGGCAGUCGAACUCGAUCAGACUCAGUUUUGGAGCGGUUCGGUUUGUGGUUCGGGUUGACUCGGUCAAACUGAGUCGACUCGGUCAGACCUGGUCAACUCGCUGAGUCAACUCGGUCAACUCAAUCGGUCAACUCAGCGUGCCGACACGAAGAUUCGGUUGCUUUUCAAAGUCAAGGCAUGGUUGGAAUAGGAGGACCAUUGGAGACUCGAGUACUUAGUGGGCAUUCAGUUUCUAGAAAGACUUUGCUUAUUUGCUUCCGCUGUGCAAUGAACAUACCAGUCCAGUCACGCCAGCUCUGAUAAUUUCGGGGUGUGACAUGUUGUGCAUCAUGGCAAUAUUAUUUUAAGCGGUUGAAAAGUAAUGAAAUUGUAUUACAAGUCCGUAGAAGAGUUACUAUAUCAUAACAACAUACUUCAUGUAUUAUUUCGAGUUAAUUGCCCGGAUAGUUCAUGUG